GCCACAUCUCAAUUUCAUCUCUAUUAAGCCGCAGCUGUCAGGAGCAGCGCCCCCACCAUUUCUUUUAUGUCUUUGGCUUUUCAUCUCGUUUUCAUGUCUCUUCUAUAGGUUUUGGCUUGGUAUCAUCAGAUCUGAUUGGGAGAUUUGAUUGGGUCCAAUCUCGUCAUCGUUCUCGGUGCCAAGGGUGUGCUCCUUGGUGUACAGUGUCGCUGAGGGUCGAUGGUUUAAGUACGUUUUGGAGCAUGAUGGAGCUUUUGGAGUAUAUUGAAGCUGUGAAGAGAACAAUACUGAAAACUUGGAGUCGAAGUCUGUCUAUGCGUAAUGCGUCAAUCGACGCCAUGUGCGACGAAUUUAAUGAUGAUCAAAUAAAUUACAACUUGACCCAGGAGUUCCAGUAAUUUAUCGGGAAGCCCCUGGACGUGUUUGAGACUAUAUUUUAGGGUUUUUAAAGUUUUGUAAAUUAUGUUUAUUUUUGGAGAGAGAGAUCUGAACUCCUUCGUAGAGAAGAUAUUGAACUCCCCUAGUUACUCUAUUAUAUUUAUGCAUUUUAUUAAGAUUUAUUAUGAUGUUCUUCAUGAUGAUGUUUGAGAAGUUCUGUUGUUAGA